GCCGGUGUGGCGGAAUGGUAGACGCGGCGGACUCAAAAUCCGCUACUGGCGACAGUGUGUAGGUUCGAGUCCUAUCACCGGUACCA
rnacentral:tRNA from 1 species